rnacentral:rRNA from 1 species
UACGUAGGCGGCAAGCGUUAUCCGGAUUUAUUGGGCGUAAAGGGAACGCAGGCGGUCUUUUAAGUCUGAUGUGAAAGCCCCCGGCUUAACCGAGGAAUUGCAUCGGAAACUGUGUUUCUUGAGUGCAGAAGAGGAGAGUGGAACUCCAUGUGUAGCGGUGGAAUGCGUAGAUAUUAGGAGGAACACCAGUGGCGAAGGCGGCUUACUGGACGACAACUGACGUUGAGGCUCGAAAGCGUGGGGAGCAAACAGG